rnacentral:rRNA from 1 species
UACGGAGGAUGCGAGCGUUAUCCGGAUUUACUGGGUGUAAAGGGAGCGCAGGCGGCGUGGCAAGUCAGAUGUGAAAACCCAGGGCCCAACCCUGGGACUGCAUUUGAAACUGCCAUACUGGAGUGCCGGAGAGGUAAGUGGAAUUCCUAGUGUAGCGGUGAAAUGCGUAGAUAUUAGGAGGAACACCAGUGGCGAAGGCGGCUUACUGGACGGUAACUGACGCUGAGGCUCGAAAGCGUGGGGAGCAAACAGG